UGUUCUGUUUCAUUUUUUCUAUUUUCUAUUUCCUUUGUUUUUUCUGUUUCAUUUUUGAGACCUAGUCUUGUCGAUGUCCAGGCUGGAGUGUAGUGGCAUGAUCACAGCUCAAUGGAACUCCUGGGCUCAAGGGAUCCUCCUGCCCCAACCUUUUGAAUAGCUGGGACUACAGGCUCUUGCCUGUAGCACUCAACUAAUUUAAAAAAUUUUUUUGUAGCGGCACUGAGGCGCUGCGGCGGCGGUGGUGGUGGCUGCUCGUCCUAGACUGGCGGGGACGGGGGUCUGGAGGAUGGGGACGGGUGGAACAACGGGCCGGUGAGGUGCAACCGCUGCCGUCUCCGCCGUCGCUGGGGCAGCUGCCGCGUUGGUCGCCUCAGGCACUGCCGCUCACUUUCCGACCGUCGCCUCUCCUCCCGAUAUCCCGCCCUGAGGAGGCUGAGGCGGAAUAGCGGCAGGCGGCGAGGGGGACGGACCGGCCCCGCGGUGGCCGCAGUGACAGCCCGGCCCCGGCCCUCCGCCCGCUCUCGCCUCGGAGCCCGCAGCCACGAUGAACCCGGGCGGCGGCAGCCCGUCGGCCGCGGCUAACUACCUGCUCUGUACCAACUGCCGGAAAGUGCUGCGGAAGGAUAAAAGAAUCAGAGUAUGUCAACCCUUGACAAGAGGACCAAGUGCCUUUAUUCCAGAGAUGGAAGUUGUCCAAGCAAACACAGUGGUUGAAUGUACUAACUUUCUUGUGGAAGAAUACUCUGCAUAUGGUCGUCUGUACAACAUCACCCAGGUCAUGAGUUUACACACUCAGUAUCUGGAGUCUUUCUUGCGGAGCCAGUUUUACAUGUUAGGCAUGGAUGGUCCCCUUUCUCUACCAUACAGGCACUAUAUUGCAAUAAUGGCUGCAGCUAGACAUCAGUGUUCUUACUUAAUAAACAUGCAUGUGGGUGAAUUAUUAAAGACUGGAGGUAUUGCUGAGUGGUUGAAUGGUUUGGCGUAUGUGCCACAAAGACUGAAAAAUCUUAAUGAAAUUAAUAAGCUGCUAGCACACCGACCUUGGCUGAUCACAAAAGAGCACAUUCAGAAACUUGUCAAAACUGGAGAAAAUAAUUGGUCUUUGCCUGAACUGGUACAUGCUGUGGUCCUACUGGCACAUUAUCAUGCUUUGGCAAGCUUUGUUUUUGGUAGUGGUAUCAAUCCAGAGAGAGAUCCAGAAAUUUCCAAUGGAUUCAGGCAAAUAUCAGUCAACAAUUUCUGCGUUUGUGAUCUUGCUAAUGACAACAACAUAGAGAAUGCAUCCCUUUCAGGAAGCAACUUUGGAAUUGUUGAUUCUCUAAGUGAGCUAGAGGCCUUAAUGGAAAGGAUGAAAAGACUUCAAGAAGAAAGGGAAGAUGAAGAGGCAUCUCAGGAAGAAAUGAGCACUCGUUUUGAGAAGGAGAAGAAAGGAUGUCUUUUUGUGGUCUCUAGAGAGAUACUUUUCAUUCAUUUCCUCAUUCAGAGUUUGAAGAUGACAUGAUUAUAACAUCUGAUGUCUCUUGAUAUAUUGAAGACCCUGGUUUUGGGUAUGAAGACUUUGCCAGAUGAGGAGAAGAGCAUUUGCCAACAUUCCGAGCUCAGGACUAUACCUGGGAAAAUCAUGGGUUCUGCCUGGUGAACAGACUUUGUUCUGACAUUGGGCAUCUUCUUGAUGAAACAUUUUGGAUGGUCUACAGUCUCACAUAUAACACUAUGGCCACCCAUGAGGAUGUUGACACAACCAUGCUGCGCAGAGCUUUAUUUAACUAUGUUCACUGUAUGUUUGGAAUCAGGUAUGAUGACUAUGAUUAUGGAGAAGUUAAUCAAUUACUUGAAAGAAACUUGAAGGUUUACAUUAAGACAGUGACCUGCUAUCCUGAGAGAACUACAAAGCGCAUAUAUGAUAGUUACUGGCGGCAAACUCAAACACUCAAAAAAAGUUCAUGUCAAUCUACUUUUAAUGGAAGCACGAAUGCAAGCUGAACUUCUUUAUGCUCUUCGUGCCAUAACUCAGCAUUUGACCUGAAGUAUCACCCAAGGAAAAUGUCAUACAUGUGUAAAAACCUUUCACAUAAAAUAAACAUCAGAAGCUAUUUGUGAUAUAGCAUCAGAAAUGAUUCAGUUAUCUAGUUUCAAAGUUUCGCCGUUUGUUUUUCGUUUUUGUUUUUUGCGGCUGUAAUGUGCAGUGAUGUGUUUCAUUUUCCUUGAUGUUUAACAUUACUAACAAUUGCAAAAAUAAUACUGAGGAGCACUAUUUUGCAUUGUUUAUAGCUGGAGUUUUGGAUACUGAUCAUAAAUCACAAAGCUGGCUUAUUAAUGCUUAACUUCAGUGCUUUUGGGUUGUGUGUAUGUGUAUUUUUUCUCCCCCCAACCCCGCCCUUUUUUUUUUUUUUUUUUUUUAACAAUAAUGACAAGCGCUUACAAUCUGCUCAAGCAAUUGUUUUUCAGAUAUUGGAAUUCAGCAAAGAAUGACCUCUCUGGCCAUUCUAAAAUUUUAAGGUUGUGUCCUAAAUCUGGUGGAGGAAAAGCAUGCGCUGUUGAACCAAGCUGCUCACUGGACACCUAUUUGUGUCCCCAGGAGAUUAUUUGUCAGGCACCGUUUUUUUUUGUUUGUUUGUUCAUUUGUUGUUGUUUUACUGCUAUUGGUGAUAACAUGAAAUGUGAUAUAGCCAUUGUCCAUAAUUUAAUGUGAAAUUAAUCAUGAUGAAUUCUAUAGCAUGCUACUGAAAUGCUAAAUUCAGCUAUUUUCUUUCUCUUCUAAAACAGAAGUUUCAGUUUUCCUAUCAGAUGUAUAUAUUAAAAGUGGAAUUAUACACAAUCCUAUCACUGACAGUAAUCCUCAGUCAUCUUAAAUAAUCAGCGCUCACAGUGCUGCUUAUAGUUCAUUCAGUUGGCACAUAUAAACCUGUACCCACACAAGACUGAUCAAAAAUUUUCUUUGCACAUUUUUCCCUUCUCAUAGUUUUUCUAUAUUUUGUUAAGCAAAGGAAGGUUAAUAUGCCUAUUUUUUUCCUGUUAGGCUUUUAGAAAUUAUUUUCCAUGAUUUUUCUUCUUAUAAUAGGUUAGACAGUUUAUUAUUCAAAGGUAAAAAUUGUGUUUCUAUGCAUUAAUGUAAUUGAACAAAAAAACCAGAGUGCAAUAUGUUCAAAAAAUACUCAACUAAACUUUCCCCGUCA